UAGAAUAAUGACGCUACUUUUCACGGAAUCGCGAAUUUAUAUAGAUGAUAAAGGUUACGACUGGAAUCGAGAGUCUCUACCUUGUCCCGCCAUUUCAAA